GGUCCCGUAGUGUAGCGGUUAUCACGUCGCCUUGUCACGGCGAAGAUCGCGGGUUCGAUUCCCGUCGGGACCG
rnacentral:tRNA from 1 species